UCAAAAACUAUUCCUUAAUCAACUGCUCCCCCUCCCUUCCGUCCGGUGCCGCUGCAGCCUGCCACGCUCGAGUCUCGACUGCCGCUCACCACUGCCCGCUACUGCCCGCUUCCGUUGCCUCCUUCACCAGCCCGGCGUCUCUUCCCUUCGGCGAACGGUUGCUCGUCUUAAACAGCCGCACCCGCGUCUUCGCUCGUCAACUCGCCGUCCACCACCAUCGCUGUCGGCAUUAGAAGCCACGGCCACCGGAGACGACUAGCCUCCUCAGCCACCAGCUCCUCGCCCUAAGUGUGUGCCGAUGAAUUCUUCUACUGUGCAAUAACAUAGCUCAGCUGAUGGUUUAACCCGAUUGAAAAUGAGCAGAAUCAAUUUAUUUGAUCUUGCUAGAUCUGAGAGACAAAAGCAAACAGGUGCAGCUGGAGAACGCUUGAAGGAAGCAGGGAAUAUUAAUCGUUCGCUUUCACAG